AGAGUUUGAUCCUGGCUCAGGAUGAACGCUAGCGGCAGGCUUAACACAUGCAAGUCGAGGGGCAGCACGGGUAGCAAUACCUGGUGGCGACCGGCAAACGGGUGCGGAACACGUACGCAACCUUCCCAAAACUGGUGAAUAGCCCUCUGAAAAGGGGAUUAAUACACCGUAAAAUAUAGCAGUGGCAUCAUUGUUAUAUAAUAGCUCCGGCGGUUUUGGAUGGGCGUGCGUCUGAUUAGGUAGUUGGUGGGGUAACGGCUCACCAAGCCAACGAUCAGUAACUGGUGUGAGAGCACGACCAGUCACACGGGCACUGAGACACGGGCCCGACUCCUACGGGAGGCAGCAGUAAGGAAUAUUGGUCAAUGGACGCAAGUCUGAACCAGCCAUGCCGCGUGAAGGAUGAAGGCGUUCUGCGUUGUAAACUUCUUUUAUCUGGGAAGAAACCUACGAUUUCUAUUGUAGCCGACGGUACCAGAGGAAUAAGCACCGGCUAACUCCGUGCCAGCAGCCGCGGUAAUACGGAGGGUGCAAGCGUUAUCCGGAUUCACUGGGUUUAAAGGGUGUGUAGGCGGGUAUUUAAGUCAGUGGUGAAAUCUCCAGGCUCAACCUGGAAACUGCCAUUGAUACUAUUUAUCUUGAAUAUUGUUGAGGUAGGCGGAAUAUGUCAUGUAGCGGUGAAAUGCUUAGAUAUGACAUAGAACACCGAUUGCGAAGGCAGCUUGCUAAACAAUUAUUGACGCUGAGGCACGAAAGCGUGGGGAUCAAACAGGAUUAGAUACCCUGGUAGUCCACGCCCUAAACGAUGAUUACUGGACAU
rnacentral:rRNA from 1 species